AGUCAAAAAGCUGAAAAAACUGUAGCAGUCGCAUAGACGCGCUUCUACACGUGCCCACUCAGAGCUGGGGAGGCGUGGUUAUAGAGAACUAUUUUCGCGCUUGCCCUGUGAAAUUGGUCCUCGAGGCACCGUAAUGCGCCUGCGUCCGUUGUGGGCGGGGUUCAGGGCAACGUCUGGAGCGUCUAGAUGAAGUGCUCUUCGCCCGCGCAAUUGGAGGAAAACGAGCUUUUUGAUGAUUCAGAGCGAAGCUCAGUGGGUUGGACUAUUGAAGACCCAGCCACUCUUAAGGGGCUUCCCACACGGGCCCACGACAUCCUUUUACGUCAACAAAAAUGAUAACUGGAGUGGGACCUUAAACAUCUUGCACCCCGACCGGAGGCGAUAGAAGCAGUUGAUCUUAGCUGGGCAAAUGGGCGAUGAACUAAGGACACAUUUUCCAACCUGUGGAGCUAGAUGUGGUAACUGAAUAGAUGAUUAUGGAAUUCACCUUCUUGUUGUGAUAAUGAUACCUUGAUACCCCAGCCUACCAAGGUUUCCCACCUGUGGGUAGCAAGAUGGAGUGGGAAGAAACGAUUGCAGUUCUUUUUCUCACUUUUCUUCAAUUUCACAUUUACUAAGGCCUAAAGCACUUCACUGCUGUCACAUGAGCCUACUGACCUCCUUUUCUGGAAGAAAAAAAAUGACACUAAAUAUAACUUGGGAACAGACUUAACAAUCCCCCUCAUAUUUCUCAGAUGAGGUGGAAAUUUGUGUUCCUAUACUUUUCUUGGGAUUUAAAGUAAGGGUUUUCAGAAUUUAAGAAUCUCAUGUGUGAUGAAGAAGGCACCAUAUAUACCAAAAGCCUCCAAAGAAAGAAGCAUCUACCAGCCAAGCUCUGAAGAAAAGAAGCCGAAAAGCUUUGCAGAGAAGCCAAAGAGCUUUGCAGACCCCAGGGCACAACUGCCCUCGGGCCCUGCCUUUAACAUUGCCUGAAAAAAGCGGUAAAAGUCCCAGGCAUGGUGUUUCAAAAAGCUAUUUGUUGUUGACAUGGGCCAACAACUCCCAAAGAGCUGUAAUGCUGGUGUUUUGAUACCAACUCUGGUGGCCAGUGAUGCCCAGCACUGCUGUUGGGUGACUGGUGCUCCAGGUCACCUCUGAGAGCUGUUAAUCAUCCAGCACCCCUUCCCUGUGCUGCUGCCUCCAUUGCUGUCUGGCCUAGUGUCCAGUGCUGUCUGUCUGACCUUCAGACUGUUGCCAUGGGCUGCUGUGGGAUAGCUACCAGCCUCACCUGUGAAUACCUCCAGCUGCGGCGAGUUGGAUCUUAGCCCACUGCUUGCUGGCAAGCUUCAAGACCUUGUUGCUGGGAAGGCGCCAUCUUGGAUGAACGGCCUUUUGUUUGGAACUUCGGAAACUGCACACUAUGGGAAUUUGAAAAGGACCAGAUUCUACAAUGGCCCUCAAUCUCCAUCUCCUCACCUCCUGUAUGUGCCCUGUGCCACUCUCUACAGCAGUCUGACACCUGCUUGGGUCUACAGCCUUGUGAUCUAGAGGUUGGCGUCUGACAAUUUU